GCAGGAGGAUGAGGAGGAGAGGAGGAGGAGGAAGAGGAGGAAGAGGAGGAAGCAGCAGCGGCAGGAGGGGCAGGGGAACGAACGUGCCGGGCGCGGUUCGGUGGGGAGGCGGUCGGGAGGGGCGGCACCGAUGGCCGCCGACGGCACCAGCACCACCACCAGCAGCUCCGGCAGCAGCUCCGGCAGCAGCUCCGGCAGCAGCUCCGGCAGCAGCUCCGGUAGCGGCAGCGGCGGCGACGAUGGCGGCGGGAGCGUGGAAGGGAGCCGUGACCGGGACAUCCUGAAACGGAUCCGAAGGCUCCCCUCGCUACACGGGAGGUGACGGAGCGGUCCGACUCACCACCACCACCACCUCCACCACCUCCACCACCGCCACCACCACCACCACCACCGCCACCACCGCCACCACCACCGCCAUCACCACCGCCACCACCACCACCGCCGCCACCACCACCGCCAUCACCACCACCACCACCACCACCGCCACCACCGCCACCACCGCCUCCCGGCCGUGAGAGAAUGCGUUUGCGGGGUCCAUGCGCAGGCAUGGGGUUGUUGUUUUGUCGCCCAAUUGUUUUUUUUAGUACCGUGCGGAUAUUUGGUGUUUUUGUUGUUAAUAAAGUUGCCUUCCGUUCCCUG